rnacentral:rRNA from 1 species
AUACGGAGGAUGCGAGCGUUAUCCGGAUUUAUUGGGUUUAAAGGGUGCGUAGGCGGAUUGAUAAGUCAGUGGUGAAAACCUGCAGCUUAACUGUAGACUUGCCAUUGAUACUGUCAGUCUUGAGUAUGGUCAAGGUAGGCGGAAUGUGUAAUGUAGCGGUGAAAUGCUUAGAUAUUACACAGAACACCGAUUGCGAAGGCAGCUUGCUGGGCCAUUACUGACGCUGAUGCACGAAAGCGUGGGGAUC